GACAGAGGAUGCAAGCGUUAUCCGGAAUGAUUGGGCGUAAAGCGUCUGUAGGUGGCUUUUUAAGUCUGCCGUCAAAUCCCCAGGGCUUAACCCUGGACAGGCGGUGGAAACUACCAAGCUGGAGUACUGCAGGGGAGACUGGAAGUUCCUGGUGUAGCGGUGGAAUGCGCAGAUAUCAGGAGGACACCGGUGGCGAAGGCGGGAUCUCCUGGGCAGGUGAACUGACGCUGGAGGAGCGA
rnacentral:rRNA from 1 species